UAUUCAACCUCAAGAACACCAAGGAAAACUUGGAGGCUAAGUCUUGGUGUAGGAAGUAUUUUUCCCUAAGUUGGUUAGGGUUUUUGAAAGGUUUUGGAGGAGCCAAAGCUAAUAGGAAGGUCCAAACCUUAAGCAAGAACACCAAAGAGGUAAGUGCAAGGGCAAGGCAGAGCAGUGAGCGCUGGAGUCUUCCUUGCAAAUGUACAUGUGGACCGACCUUUUGGGAAGCCGUUUUAUUUUUGGAAAUGUUGUGUAAUUUUCC